GACGAACGCUGGCGGCGUGCCUAAUACAUGCAAGUCGAACGGUUUAGUUCCAAGAGGCAAGACUCUUGGAACUAAGCAGUGGCGGACGGGUGAGUAACACGUAGGCAACCUACCUGUCAAACCGGGAUAACCUCGGGAAACCGAAGCUAAACCCGGAUAAGCUCCUUUUUCGCAUGAAGGGGGAGUGAAAAGGUGCGACCUGAUGACAGAUGGGCCUGCGGCGCAUUAGCUAGUAGGUAGGGUAACGGCCUACCUAGGCGAUGAUGCGUAGCCGACCUGAGGGGGCGUACGGCCACACUGGGACUGCGGUACGGCCCAGACUCCUACGGGAGGCAGCAGUAGGGAAUCUUCGGCAAUGGGCGAAAGCCUGACCGAGCAACGCCGGGUGAGUGAGGAAGGCCUUCGGGUUGUAAAACUCUGUUGUUUGGGAAGAAGGGAAAGGGUAGGACCCUUAGGUGACGGUACCAAACGAGAAAGCCCCGGCUAACUACGUG
rnacentral:rRNA from 1 species